rnacentral:piRNA from 1 species
UAGACUACCAUGACUGUCUGCUUAGAACGG